rnacentral:lncRNA from 1 species
CACUACUAGGAAAAAGCCUUCUAAUGGCGCACCGGUUUUGCCUACUAAUGGCGCACUACCGGUGCGCCAUUAGCAUCACGCCACUAGAAUUUUUUUCUAAUGGCGCACCUGUGGUGCGCCAUUAGAAUCUGGUAUUCUAAUGGCGCACCGCUGGUGCGCCAUAAGUAUGGCCCACGGUGCGCCAUUAGUAUCUGGUAUACUAAUGGCGCACCACAUAGGAGUGCGCCAUUAGUAACAAUUUUUUUUCAAAUUUUUUUUGCAAGAUUUUUUUUAAUUUUUUUUUCAAAAUUUCCAAUUUUUUUUUGUUUUUUUCUUAAUCUCAGGUCACUAUGGCUUAAUCUCGAGUCAAUAUGCUUAAUCUCAGGUCAAAUCGCACUCCAUGGUCAAACUUCCCAAAAGGUCACCCAUCCCUCUCACUACUCCAGCCUGAGCACGCUUAACUUCCGGGUUCUAUUCUCCCUCGUUUCCAAGUCUGCAUUUGUUGUUUUCCUGACAAUAGUAAGAUGUCAAUCCUAUUAACCUCAGGAAUUUAGCUUGAGCAUGUACUGACACAUUUCACUGUUUGAGUUUGAAACUAUUGUUCUAAAAAAUUAGUAACACUAAUAUUUUUCUUGAAUAAUUAGUUCGCACACAGUUUGACCAGAUUUGACCACAGUUUGACCAGAUUUGACCACAGUUUGACCAUAGUUUGACCAAUUUGACCAAAAUUCAAAAAAAUAAAAUAAUUAUUUAUUAACACUAAUAUUCUUGAAUAAUUAGUUUGACCAUAGUUUGACCAGAUUUAACAAAAACUAAAAAAAC